rnacentral:rRNA from 1 species
GAUGAACGCUAGCUACAGGCUUAACACAUGCAAGUCGCGGGGCAGCAUGACAUCAGCUUGCUGAUGUUGAUGGCGACCGGCGCACGGGUGAGUAACGCGUAUCCAACCUGCCCUUUACUAUGGGACAGCCCGUCGAAAGGCGGAUUAAUACCGUAUGUUGUCAUGUUGAUGCAUAUUUUCAUGACCAAAGGCUUCGGCCGGUAAAGGAUGGUGAUGCGUCUGAUUAGCUUGCCGGCGGGGUAACGGCCCACCGGGGCGACGAUCAGUAGGGGUUCUGAGAGGAAGGUCCCCCACAUUGGAACUGAGACACGGUCCAA